AUCAGAGGCACAAGUUAAAAGUGACAGAGAAAUGCUGUGAAUACAAAUAUUUUUCGCGAGAUAAAAAAAAAAAAUUUAAGAGAAUAGGAGAAAGAAGAUACUUAUCUUUAGUGCCCUCAGUGAGGAGUUUAUCAGUAAAUUUUGUAAUAUUUUUCAAGCCUCCAGCUUGCCGCCUCCUUCUUGUGUUAUUCUUAUCAUUUUCUGGUGUGAUUUCAUUGCGAGUGAUACGUUGCUAUUUUUUUUUCGACACGUUGAAGAGAAAUUUUUUUUUUGUGUACUUACAAAAGUAUUUUUGGUAAUGUAGGGAAAGUUGAAAAAUUUAAUUUGUAAUUAUCAAUUAAAUUUAUUAUUCUUCGAGUGUCAUGAGAAUUUUGCAACAGAAUUUUUUGUGUCGAUCCAGACGAUUAUCAUCAAUUUUUCCGACAUGUGCCAUAAGUCACAAUUUCCGGUUUUCAAGCAGUUUGAAAGGUAAAAUAAUAGCAAUAAGAAGAGAGGAUCAAUCAGUAUGGGAGAGAAGAGCAGCCCUUGCACCGGCGAAUGUCCGACGACUUGUUCGCUCCGGAGUGAAGGUGAUUAUACAACCGAGCAAUCGAAGGGCUUAUCCGGUGCAAUCAUACCUUUCGGCUGGUGCCGUUCUACAAGAGGAUAUAAGUUCAGCUUCAGUGAUUUUUGGCGUUAAACAAGUUCCAGUUGAUCAAUUAAUUCCCAAUAAGACGUAUUGUUUCUUUUCACAUACGAUAAAGGCACAGGAGAGUAAUAUGCCACUUCUCGAUGCAAUUCUUGAGAAAAAUAUUCGACUCAUUGAUUAUGAAAAAUUAACCGAUGAUAAUGGACAACGAAUUGUUGCUUUUGGAAAAUAUGCCGGUGUUGCUGGAAUGGUGAAUAUUUUACAUGGAUUGGGCCUUCGACUAUUGGCUCUUGGACAUCAUACACCAUUCAUGCAUAUCGGUCCAGCACACAACUACAGAGAUUCUUCGAUGGCAAGACAGUCGAUUAGGGAUGCUGGUUAUGAAGUAGCGCUGGGUGCUUUACCAAAAUCAAUUGGUCCAUUGACAGUUGUUUUUACAGGAAGUGGAAAUGUCAGUCAAGGUGCUCAGGAAGUUUUUCAGGAGCUUCCACACGAAUACGUGGCACCUGAGGCCUUAAGAAAAGUCGCCGAACACGGAGAUACGAACAAAAUAUACGCCUGUCAAGUGAGACGAAGACAUCAUUUAGAGAGAAAAGAGGAUGGAGUUUUUGAUCCUGAGGAAUAUGAUCAACAUCCAGAGAGAUAUAUUUCCACAUUCAGUAAAAAAAUAGCACCAUAUGCGUCAAUUAUCAUUAAUGGAAUUUAUUGGGCUGUUGAUUCGCCAAAAUUAUUGACAAUUCCUGAUGCAAAAUAUUUAUUGAGACCGGCGAAUACACCAUGGCUUCCAAUAAGUGUUGGCGCACCGGCUUUACCUCAUAGAAUGUUGGCAAUUUGUGAUGUAUCCGCAGAUCCUGGUGGUAGUAUUGAAUUUAUGAACGAGUGUACGACAAUAGAUACGCCUUUUUGUUUAUAUGACGCCGAUCGAAAUAAAGAUACGAAAUCAUUUAAAGGACCGGGAGUUCUUGUUUGUUCGAUUGAUAAUAUGCCAACGCAAUUGCCACGUGAGUCAACUGAUUUUUUUGGUGAUUUAUUGUUUCCCCAUUUAUUGGAUAUAAUGCAAUCGGAUGCAAAAAAAUCAUUGGAUGAACAUAAUUUUACAUCGGCUGUUCAUGGUGCAAUUAUUGCUUCGAAUGGAAAAUUAACACCAAAUUUUGAAUAUAUACGUGAAUUGAGACAACUUAAUUCGAAGAGUAGACAUAAGGCUUGCAUUGACAAUGGAUCGGAACAAUCGAAAAAGGUUGUUGUGUUAGGUGCCGGAUAUGUGUCGGCACCAGUAGUGGAAUAUUUACACAGAGAUAAGAAUGUUGGUAUUGUCGUUUGUUCUCAAUUAAAAGACGAAGCUGAUGCAUUAGCUAAUAAAUAUCCUGGUGUUGAACCGGUAUUUUUAAAUGUUCUUGAACGAUCUGAUACAUUAUUGGAUGUGGUUAGUUCUGCGGAUGUUGUUGUUUCUUUGUUACCAUAUUCUUUGCAUCAUGUCAUUGCAAAAGCUUGCAUUGAAACAAAGACACAUUUGGUAACUGCAAGUUAUAUGAAUGAUGAUGUGAAGGCUUUACACAAUGAAGCUGAGACUGCGGGUGUAACGAUAUUAAACGAAGUUGGUUUAGAUCCAGGUAUUGAUCAUCUUUUGGCAUUGGAAUGUUUCGAAGGUGUGCGUCAAGGUGGAGGAAAAAUUGAAUCUUUCGUUUCAUGGUGCGGUGGACUUCCAGCUCCGGAGUGUUCAGAUAAUCCUCUCAGAUAUAAAUUCAGUUGGUCACCGCGUGGAGUUUUAUUGAAUACUUUGUCAUCUGCAAAAUAUUUCCACGAAGGACAGAUCGUUGAAAUUACCGGCGGUGGUGAUUUAAUGUCUGCGGUUCAAGAUUUAGAUUUUCUGCCUGGUUUUGCUCUCGAGGGUUUUCCAAAUCGUGAUAGCACAAAUUAUCGUGAUUUGUACGGAAUUCAGAAUGCUGAAACUAUUUUACGUGGAACUUUGAGAUUCAAAGGUUUCACAGAAACAAUUCAGGCACUUCAAUUUCUCGGACUAAUCGAUCCAAAUCCAAAUCCGAUUUUGCAUCCAAAUGGACCCGAAAUUACCUGGAGAUCGUUAAUUUGCAAUUUCCUCGGUUUGCCGAAUGAGAGUAUUUUCUAUGAAAAUUUAAAACGAAAAUUAAUUGAACGAGUAAAUUCAGAGGAGCGUGUAAAGGCAAUUGAAGAUCUUGGACUUUUGGAGGAAGAUUUGGUACUUAAAUUAAAUACACCACUUGACACCCUUUCUCAUUAUUUGUCAAAGAAGCUGAAAUUCGAGCAUAAUGAAAGGGAUUUGGUCAUUUUGAGGCACGAUAUUGGUAUUAGAUGGCCAGAUGGUAAACGUGAGUUACGAGGUGUUAAUAUGGUGAUUUAUGGAGAUCCUAAAGGACACUCGGCUAUGGCACGUACAGUUGGCUUUCCGGCUGCCAUUGCCGUUAAAAUGAUAUUAGAUGGUGAAAUUCAACAAAGAGGAAACGUUCUUCCAUUCACACCAGACAUCUAUCGUCCAUUGUUGAGUCGAUUGAGGGCCGAGGGUCUCGAAUCUUUUGAAACUUCCAAAUGGCUGUGAAACAAAUCAUGAAAAUCAUUCGGAUUCAUUUUCUUUUUUCAUACAUAUAGGUUUCAGUAAAUGUUAUAACUGAUAGAAAAAAAUCAAUUAUUUGGUUUUAAAUUAAAAAAAAAAAAAAUGGAAAUUAAAUUUUCGAAUAUUUGAAUCAGCGAGUUCACAUGGAAAGAGAUGUAACAGAUGUUGCCAUGGAAACGUUUGUGUAAAGUAAAACUUUGUAAUACUUGGAGACCGUGCUAUUAAAGCAAUCAAGUGACCUCAAAAUUAUUAUUUCAUAUUCAUUGCAAAGCAGUACAUACACGCAAAGUAUAAACACACGUGAUCCGAUAUAUAUCAAAUGCACUACAUUUUCCUGGUUCUGGUAUGUAAUUCUCUUUAUGUGUUUCAUAUCGAAUAUUAGAUGCAUAUAUGCAUUUUACAAACUCUCGAAUCUAAUAUUAUUUAGUCAAAAACAUAACAUUGAUGGCAAUUAUUAUUUUUUUUUGCGAAAAAGAUCGAAAAUAGAUAUUAUUUAUGAGAGAAUAAGGCGAAUCUAGUUAUAUUUUUAUUUAAUUUAUUAUUAUAUUUUUCGCUACUAUCAAAAUGUCGUGAGAAAUAAAUUAUAUUUCUAUACUAUA